rnacentral:rRNA from 1 species
AUUGAACGCUGGCGGCAGGCCUAACACAUGCAAGUCGAGCGGAGCGGCGUACGGGUGAGUAAUGCCUAGGAAUCUGCCUGGUAGUGGGGGAUAACGUCCGGAAACGGGCGCUCAUACCGCAUACUUUCAGAUGAGCCUAGGUCGGAUUAGCUCGUUGGUGGGGUAACGGCCUACCAAGGGGACGAUCCGUCACUGGUCUGAGAGGCUGAUCAGUAACACGGGAAAGGUAUGACGGGCCAGACUCCUAGGGAAGGAAACAGUGGGGAAUAAUGGGCUAGGGGGGAAAGCCUGAACCAGCCAUGCCGCGUGUGUGAAGAAUGUCUUCGGAUUGUAAAGCACUUUAAGUUGGGAGGCGGUACCAACAGAAUAAGCAACGGCUAACUUCGUGGCAGCAGCCGCGGUAAUUC